rnacentral:lncRNA from 1 species
AUGAGGCUUGUCCAGGGCUGGCUGGGGACAAGGAGAAUCCCUGCUGUCCCCAGGGUGCUGUGGGCAGUGUCCCGGGGGUGGGACAGCUCAAUUUCAAGCUUUCAGAGCAGUUAUUUACCCAGCUGGGGAGGGGAAGGGUUAUCCCCCUGCAGGCAGAGGGGAUCUGGUAUCCUGGCUCAGCCAGGUGGGAGGGAAGGGCUGCCUGAUCCUUGCUUUCCUCAGAGAAGCAGAGCUGUGACUGGAGCAUCAAAUAUUGGCCAAACCUUGUCCCAGUACAUCCCAGUGCCUAAAGAGGCUCCAAGAAAGCUGGAGAUGGACUUUGGGUUUGUGAGAAAGUCCUGGAGUGAGAGGAUAAGGGGCAAUGGCUUCCCAGUGCCACAGGACAGGGAUAGAUGGGAUAUUGGGAAGGAAUUCCUCCAUGUGAGGUUUGGGAAACCCUGCCACCAGAGAAGCUGUGGCUGCCCCUGGAUCCCUGGAAUUGUUCAAAUGAUGAAUUGUUCAGAUGGUAUAGUGGAAGGUGUCCCUGUUCCCGGCUGCACAUCCCUGCCUGCUGGGCAGGGGAAGGAAUCUGAGCUACAAGCUGCCCUCUUUUGGCCUUUUGUGUUGUCAGAAGUUUCUCUGGCUGGCUGCAGUGCAUUAAGGGCUGGAGCAGGAAUUUCUUUAAAGCAUCCUGCACUUCACCACCCGGGGGCAAACUCCUCCAAGGGCACAGCUGCCGGGUGUUUUUCCCAUGGGGUAUUCCCAAGGAGGAGGGGACAGGCCGUGCUUUGUGCUCCCUGGCCAGGGAAGGGUUUGAAAAGCGACCCCUCUCCCUGCGAUCCGUGUCUCCCUGGAAUGAAUUCUCCCUUGGGAUGUUCCCCACGUGUCAGGCAGGCAGCAGUGCUGGCCACCCCUGUGGCAGUCACACCUCCCAGGGGUGUCACCCGUGGCCACAAAUCACCACCAAAGGGACUUUGGUACCAAACAAAUUCCCCGUGGUGCAGAAACCUCCCCCUGCAAGCCGAGUCCAAACCAGCCCCAGAGGGUCAGGGCUGA